AGUGAACGCUGGCGGUAGGCCUAACACAUGCAAGUCGAACGGCAGCACAGUAAGAGCUUGCUCUUACGGGUGGCGAGUGGCGGACGGGUGAGGAAUACAUCGGAAUCUACUUUUUCGUGGGGGAUAACGUAGGGAAACUUACGCUAAUACCGCAUACGACCUACGGGUGAAAGCAGGGGAUCUUCGGACCUUGCGCGAUUGAAUGAGCCGAUGUCGGAUUGGCUAGUUGGCGGGGUAAAGGCCCACCAAGGCGACGAUCCGUAGCUGGUCUGAGAGGAUGAUCAGCCACACUGGAACUGAGACACGGUCCAGACUCCUACGGGAGGCAGCAGUGGGGAAUAUUGGACAAUGGGCGCAAGCCUGAUCCAGCCAUACCGCGUGGGUGAAGAAGGCCUUCGGGUUGUAAAGCCCUUUUGUUGGGAAAGAAAAGCGGCAGGUUAAUACCCCGCUGUUCUGACGGUACCCAAAGAAUAAGCACCGGCUAACUUCGUG
rnacentral:rRNA from 1 species